AUAAUGGGUCAGCGACUUAUAUUCUGUAGCAAGGUUAACCGAAUAGGGGAGCCGAAGGGAAACCGAGUCUUAACUGGGCGUUAAGUUGCAGGGUAUAGACCCGAAACCCGGUGAUCUAGCCAUGGGCAGGUUGAAGGUUGGGUAACACUAACUGGAGGACCGAACCGACUAAUGUUGAAAAAUUAGCGGAUGACUUGUGGCUGGGGGUGAAAGGCCAAUCAAACCGGGAGAUAGCUGGUUCUCCCCGAAAGCUAUUUAGGUAGCGCCUCGUGAAUUCAUCUCCGGGGGUAGAGCACUGUUUCGGCAAGGGGGUCAUCCCGACUUACCAACCCGAUGCAAACUGCGAAUACCGGAGAAUGUUAUCACGGGAGACACACGGCGGGUGCUAACGUCCGUCGUGAAGAGGGAAACAACCCAGACCGCCAGCUAAGGUCCCAAAGUCAUGGUUAAGUGGGAAACGAUGUGGGAAGGCCCAGACAGCCAGGAUGUUGGCUUAGAAGCAGCCAUCAUUUAAAGAAAGCGUAAUAGCUCACUGGUCGAGUCGGCCUGCGCGGAAGAUGUAACGGGGCUAAACCAUGCACCGAAGCUGCGGCAGCGACGCUGAUGCGUUGUUGGGUAGGGGAGCGUUCUGUAAGCCUGUGAAGGUGUGCUGUGAGGCAUGCUGGAGGUAUCAGAAGUGCGAAUGCUGACAUAAGUAACGAUAAAGCGGGUGAAAAGCCCGCUCGCCGGAAGACCAAGGGUUCCUGUCCAACGUUAAUCGGGGCAGGGUGAGUCGACCCCUAAGGCGAGGCCGAAAGGCGUAGUCGAUGGGAAACAGGUUAAUAUUCCUGUACUUGGUGUUACUGCGAAGGGGGGACGGAGAAGGCUAUGUUGGCCGGGCGACGGUUGUCCCGGUUUAAGCGUGUAGGCUGGUUUUCCAGGCAAAUCCGGAAAACUAAGGCUGAGGCGUGAUGACGAGGCACUACGGUGCUGAAGCAACAAAUGCCCUGCUUCCAGGAAAAGCCUCUAAGCAUCAGGUAACAUCAAAUCGUACCCCAAACCGACACAGGUGGUCAGGUAGAGAAUACCAAGGCGCUUGAGAGAACUCGGGUGAAGGAACUAGGCAAAAUGGUGCCGUAACUUCGGGAGAAGGCACGCUGAUAUGUAGGUGAAGUCCCUCGCGGAUGGAGCUGAAAUCAGUCGAAGAUACCAGCUGGCUGCAACUGUUUAUUAAAAACACAGCACUGUGCAAACACGAAAGUGGACGUAUACGGUGUGACGCCUGCCCGGUGCCGGAAGGUUAAUUGAUGGGGUCAGCGCAAGCGAAGCUCUUGAUCGAAGCCCCGGUAAACGGCGGCCGUAACUAUAACGGUCCUAAGGUAGCGAAAUUCCUUGUCGGGUAAGUUCCGACCUGCACGAAUGGCGUAAUGAUGGCCAGGCUGUCUCCACCCGAGACUCAGUGAAAUUGAACUCGCUGUGAAGAUGCAGUGUACCCGCGGCAAGACGGAAAGACCCCGUGAACCUUUACUAUAGCUUGACACUGAACAUUGAGCCUUGAUGUGUAGGAUAGGUGGGAGGCUUUGAAGUGUGGACGCCAGUCUGCAUGGAGCCGACCUUGAAAUACCACCCUUUAAUGUUUGAUGUUCUAACGUUGACCCGUAAUCCGGGUUGCGGACAGUGUCUGGUGGGUAGUUUGACUGGGGCGGUCUCCUCCUAAAGAGUAACGGAGGAGCACGAAGGUUGGCUAAUCCUGGUCGGACAUCAGGAGGUUAGUGCAAUGGCAUAAGCCAGCUUGACUGCGAGCGUGACGGCGCGAGCAGGUGCGAAAGCAGGUCAUAGUGAUCCGGUGGUUCUGAAUGGAAGGGCCAUCGCUCAACGGAUAAAAGGUACUCCGGGGAUAACAGGCUGAUACCGCCCAAGAGUUCAUAUCGACGGCGGUGUUUGGCACCUCGAUGUCGGCUCAUCACAUCCUGGGGCUGAAGUAGGUCCCAAGGGUAUGGCUGUUCGCCAUUUAAAGUGGUACGCGAGCUGGGUUUAGAACGUCGUGAGACAGUUCGGUCCCUAUCUGCCGUGGGCGCUGGAGAACUGAGGGGGGCUGCUCCUA
rnacentral:rRNA from 1 species